rnacentral:rRNA from 1 species
CCCAGACUCCCACGGGAGGCAGCAGUGGGGGAUAUUGCACAAUGGGGGAAACCCUGAUGCAGCGACGCCGCGUGAGUGAAGAAGUAUUUCGGUAUGUAAAGCUCUAUCAGCAGGGAAGAAAAAAGACGGUACCUGACUAAGAAGCCCCGGCUAACUACGUGCCAGCAGCCGCGGUAAUACGUAGGGGGCAAGCGUUAUCCGGAUUUACUGGGUGUAAAGGGAGCGUAGACGGCAAUACAAGUCGGAAGUGAAAUACCCGGGCUCAACCUGGGAACUGCUUUGGAAACUGUAUGGCUGGAGUGCUGGAGAGGUAAGCGGAAUUCCUAGUGUAGCGGUGAAAUGCGUAGAUAUUAGGAGGAACACCAGUGGCGAAGGCGGCUUACUGGACUGUAACUGACGUUGAGGCUCGAAAGCGUGGGGAGCAAACAGGAUUAGAUACCCCAGUA